rnacentral:rRNA from 1 species
UGGGGAAUAUUGGACAAUGGGCGAAAGCCUGAUCCAGCGACGCCGCGUGGGUGAAGAAGGCCUUCGGGUUGUAAAGCCCUUUAAGCCGGGACGAAAAAGCUGCACCUAACACGUGCGGCCUUGCCGGUACCGGGAGAAUAAGCCCCGGCUAACUCCGUGCCAGCAGCCGCGGUAAUACGGAGGGGGCUAGCGUUGUUCGGAAUUACUGGGCGUAAAGCGCACGUAGGCGGCUUUGUAAGUUAGAGGUGAAAGCCCAGAGCUCAACUCUGGAAUUGCCUUUAAGACUGCAUCGCUUGAAUUGUGGAGAGGUGAGUGGAAUUCCGAGUGUAGAGGUGAAAUUCGUAGAUAUUCGGAAGAACACCAGUGGCGAAGGCGACUCACUGGACACAUAUUGACGCUGAGGUGCGAAAGCGUGGGGAGCAAA